CCUACGGGAGGCAGCAGUGAGGAAUAUUGGUCAAUGGGCGCAAGCCUGAACCAGCCAAGUCGCGUGAAGGAUGACUGCCCUACGGGUUGUAAACUUCUUUUAUAAAGGAAUAAAGUGAGGCACGUGUGCCUUUUUGUAUGUACUUUAUGAAUAAGGAUCGGCUAACUCCGUGCCAGCAGCCGCGGUAAUACGGAGGAUCCGAGCGUUAUCCGGAUUUAUUGGGUUUAAAGGGAGCGUAGAUGGGUUGUUAAGUCAGGUGUGAAAGUUUGCGGCUCAACCCUAAAAUUGCAAUUGAUACUGGCAGCCGUGAGAACAGUUGAGGUAGGCGGAAUUCGUGGUGUAGCGGUGAAAUGCUUAGAUAUCACGAAGAACUCCGAUUGCGAAGGCAGCCUACUAAAGGGCCACUGACAUUGAUGCUCGAAAGUGUGGGUAUCAAACAGGAUUAGAUACCCCUGUAGUC
rnacentral:rRNA from 1 species